UCUGUGACCUCCUGAUGUUUAUACCUAUAAUGUGUAUAUCAAUGGGUUAUGCAAGCUGAACAAUAUCCAAGGCGCUAUAAAGAUGAUGUCUUCUAUGAAAAAGCUAGGUUCUGAGCCUAAUGUAGUUGCAUACAAUAUAUUGAUAAAAGGAUUGGUUAAAGCUGGAGAUCUGAGUCGAGCUAAGACUCUAUGGAAAGAGAUGGAGAGACGAAUGGAGUUUAGACGAGGUUGUUUGUGCUCACUGUUUAUUGGAAUAAGCAUUUAACAUGAGUUCAAGAAUUUCGGAAGAUCUGCCUUGACUGAACUCACACC